UCCCAAAUAUCAUAAUAUCAUACACUGGUCCCACACGUCAGAAAUUUCAAAUUUGCUCAAAUUAUUUUGAUAAGUGGGUCGCAUGAGUCAUGUUUCCAUUGCACACAUUUUCAAAUCACAUACAUAAUUACUAGUUCAUAUGAAACAGAAAUUGUAAUUCUGAAACAUACAUGAAAUUCACAAAUAGAGAGAAGAUACAUUAAUUCACAUACAUAAUUACUAUUUCAUUCACAAACAGAGAGAAGAUACAUUAAAUUCCCAGAUAACCCAACUAUUAUUACAUAACUUGCUAUAUAAGAAUGUCUUGGAGCUUCUUUGAACAUCUUUCGUCUUGAAUUUACUCAAAAUAUCUGCCAACAAGAAAACAGAACAGCAAGGAUAGGGUGAAUAACAACAACAAUAGGUGAUGGGGUGCUAUUCCAUCUAAACAAGAGACUGAACCCAACAAGCUAGAUUCAUUCAGCAUCAUCAACAAUUCAGUAAAGUACUGCAAUUUAGAACUAAUGAGAAAAAACAACUACACGACUUCAUAACUGAACAUAUUCAAGUAAAAAUUGUACAAGUUACAUUCCAGUAAACAAACUGUACAAGUUGACGAUUCCCUGCUGCAUAUACAUAUCACUUGUGUCAUGUUUGGGGGUUCAGAAUGUACACAACAUGUUUAUGGUAGAUGAACUGCAGCUGCUAGGAAUAGUAAAGUAAAGAUGUACUGCCACUAAUCAGCAAAAACAUAACAUUUUCUCAGAGUUAAUGAUAGCACAUGGAUAAAGAUGGAAACAAAAAAUAUUUCUAAUCUUGGAACCCAACAUAGCAAAUCAAAACGAGAGAGGGGCAGAGGUGGUGUGGAGGAGACAGGACCUUGAGCUGCUGCUCCUCUUCAUGGUUGUGUGUCACCCUCCAUCUCCUAACUAUGAUCAUCAACAUCUACUACUAACAACUCCCUGUGCAAUCCUACAUUGCCGUAAAAAUUCCUCGCCCUCCAUUUACUCGCUUUACAGUACUCCUAAUGCUUGGAGUAGUUCAAGCAGUAUUGCGGUAAAACUACUCCUAAUGCUACAGCAGUUAAGAACAAGGGAAAUUACUGUGAUGUUCAAAAUUUACAGUAAACACUCCACUCCACUGAAUAUUACUGAAACUUAAUAGAAUUUAACUAAGCUUUUUCAGUUUCAGAAUAUGAAAGUCAGAAAAUAAGCUUGCAAGCAAGUUUAUGUAAGUAAUGCACACUGGAGUACAAUACUUCUAUGAAUUUCUGCAAAUAAUUCAUGAUUUUCUAACUACUCCAAGAUGUCCAGUUAAUUAACUAGAAAAGUAACUAAACUUGCAAAUUGAGAAAAUCUUGUUAGACCACUUGCAAUAUCUUCGGUGAUAGUACAUGUUCAGAACAAACACUUACAAUAUCUACUGCAAGAACUUGUUUACUCCUGCAUAUUUGCUUGCAUGUUCAGAAUCUGCAAAUAUUCAGAAGCAUGUUCAAAAUACUUACUGAAAAGUACUGUUAAAUGUUGAAAAGUUAAAUCUUGUUCAAUCUUGUUAAAUACUCCAAGAAAAAUUACUCUGCACAAAUACAGUUCAAUCUUGUUAAAUACUAUAAGCAAAAUUACUGGAGUACUGGAGUACUACAAUUUAAAUGUAAUCCAAGCAAAUUGAGAAGUUAACAGUACUGCUGCUAACUUGGAGUAGCUUUGACUAUGUACAGAGCAAGAUGGAGGGUCUAGCUUACUGCUGCUACUCCACAUAUCUAAUUUUACUUAACAGAGCAAGAUGGAGUAACCCAAAAAAAUUAACAGAGCAAGCAAAUGUACUCUAAAUGGCAGUUCACCAGAGAUUUUCAAGUUAAAAUUACUCCCAGGGGUAAACAACAAUGACAUGGACGAAGUAAAGGAUGGAUGUUGUAAAUUAAUCCAGUAAUUCUUUUUUGUUCUCAUAUUUUUCACCCUCUAGACACUGCCUAGAGCGCUUACAAGAUGACAAAGUUAAUUUUGCAUAACACAUAUGGAUUCUUAUCAUCUUCGGUAAGGGGGGCACAUUUACAGCUAAUCUAUUAUAUUAUUAAAAAGUAACCAUGUAUAGAUGUCUCCAUACCCCAUAUGAUUUCUAGACUGCCAUGCAAAGCAAUGAGUUGAGUCCAAUUCCUACACGGCCAUGUACUUGUAAAAAAAAGAAAACUACGCCUAUCUAUGACAUACGUUCCCAAACAGCCUAGCAAAGCGAGGCAAACAAGCUGUGGAUCCUAAUUAUAAUGGCCGAGAACUAAAAAAAAUUCUCACAUAAUAUGUGAAACCCGCACGUAUUCGUUUGCACAUCCAAAGUGUGUCACGUACUGGAGAUGCCUCUGACCGAGAAGUGCAAAUUAGAAUCACGUAUGGAAGGACACUUCCAUCAGCAUGUUUGCUACUAAAAAAAAUCAUCACGUUUGUUGUACUGACACACAAUCAGUUUCCAAUUAUAUCUCAAAACCAAUCAACACAAGCUAGCCACGCUACACAUCCCAGCUAAUUGCAACUUGGCGUUGUAAGAAAUAAUCGGCAAGCCUUUGCUCUGCCUCAGGCCUCAGUCGACAGAACAAAACAAGGAAGGAGAUACUGCAGAAAGCAAAGCUGCCUUGCGCUUUUAAACAAAUUACUAUCACGAACGGGAUGGAGUCGCCUCAAAACAGAUGCCAUUAUUGGCACACUGAUUAAUAAGAAUGGAAGCAGCAGGUGGAGAAAUCAAUUUUUGAAACUUGUUUCUCCUAACUUGCAAUACUGCAAUAUGGCAUCAUGUCAACUAUUUACAUAAAGGAAAGAGAAAUAGACAGAUUAUGCAGCUACCCUACUAAUGUGCAGGAAAGAAGUGGUGACUGAAUAAUGUGUUGCACUACACAUACUAGUUUGCAGAACAGUCCCACGCCUAUUACAUUACUAGAGCAAUUUCAUUACUAGAGCCUCUGCUUGGAGAUAAAAAAAUGAGCAGAUUGUAAUGUAUUUGAAUCAAGAUCCUUUCAGAAACUAGCUAGUAUGAAGAGGAAAAUCAAGCAAAACUGUCACAGGUCUUGAGCGCUUUAGAUCCUAGUGGCUGGCUACUUUAACAGUAUUUAUUACAAGUAAAAAAACACAGCAGAAAUCCUAGACAGUGAAGAACAUAUUCAGCACGCACGCUGAUUAAUCACUUGACACACAAUGCAAGGCAAUGCAACACAAGCAGCAGGUAGCUAGAAGUUAACAAGACAAUAAAUAAAUCCUUGACAGUGGAGAACAUAUUCAGCACACACGCUCGCUGAUUAAUCACUUACACAAAAUGAAUAGAUAUCCCCUUUCUCCAUGGAGAGGGCGGACCCGAGACCUUGGAAUAGAUCCCUGAUUGAAUGAACAACGCAAUACAGAGCCAAAGCAGAGAGCUGGAGACGAACGGCCUGGCUGGUGGGG
rnacentral:lncRNA from 1 species